rnacentral:rRNA from 1 species
GAAUUGCGAUAAGUAAUGUGAAUUGCAGAAUUCAGUGAAUCAUCGAAUCUUUGAACGCACCUUGCACCCUUUGGUAUUCCGAAGGGUAUGCCCGUUUGAGUGUCAUUGUAAUCUCACAUCCAAAGAUUUGUUUCUUGGAAGGUGGACUUGGAGGUUGCUGCUGCAAAAGUGGCUCUUCUUAAAUGCAUUAGUGAUGCUUGGUCUUGCAUUACAAACCAGUGUAAUAAGAUUUCGCUGGGUUGGCUUGACUGGAGCUGUCGCUUCGAAUCGUCUCUUUGCUGGGACUGUCGCGCUCUGCGGCAUUUGACAACUUGACCUCAAAUCGGGUAGAUUACCCGCUGAACUUAAGCAUAUCAAUAAGCGGAGGAAAAGAACUAACAAGGAUUCCCCUAGU